rnacentral:rRNA from 1 species
GAUGAACGCUGGCGGCGUGCCUAAUACAUGCAAGUCGAGCGAACAGACGAGGAGCUUGCUCCUUUGACGUUAGCGGCGGACGGGUGAGUAACACGUGGAUAACCUACCUAUAAGACUGGGAUAACUUCGGGAAACCGGAGCUAAUACCGGAUAACAUGUUGAACCGCAUGGUUCAACAGUGAAAGACGGUCUUGCUGUCACUUAUAGAUGGAUCCGCGCCGCAUUAGCUAGUUGGUAAGGUAACGGCUUACCAGGCAACGAUGCGUAGCCGACCUGAGAGGGUGAUCGGCCACACUGGAACUGAGACACGGUCCAGACUCCUACGGGAGGCAGCAGUAGGGAAUCUUCCGCAAUGGGCGAAAGCCUGACGGAGCAACGCCGCGUGAGUGAAGAAGGUCUUCGGAUCGUAAAACUCUGUUAUUAGGGAAGAACAAAUGUGUAAGUAACUAUGCACGUCUUGACGGUACCUAAUCAGAAAGCCACGGCUAACUACGUG